rnacentral:lncRNA from 1 species
GAAAAGGUUACGACGUUAUAUUCGCACCACCACCUGAUCAGCUGGUAUACGAUGAUAAAGUUGCUCACAGUGGCUGAAAUAUAACUCAAACGGUGUUGUAUACGCGUAUAUAUGUAUAUGUGAUAUGGGAAAAGAUUACGGCGUUAUAUACACACCACCACCUGAUUAUACGUUGAUGAUUUGCCCACAGUGGCCGAGAUGAUAUGAUGGGAUUCCCUCAUAAGCUUGAUGAAGUUAUGUACGUGUAGACCUAUACAUUACAUGACAUUUACAUGCAUAUACAUGACAUUAUAAAUAUUUCAUGAUUUACAGAGCUAUCCAGACUUAUAGGUUAAAUUAUCUACUCCAUGUUUCUUCCAUGUCCUUAAUUAAUGUUGACUUACUAUUAUGUUUCAGGUCCGCCUUACAUAUUCGGUACAUUAUUCGUAUUGACGUCCUUUUGUUGGGGACACUCCAUUCAUACCGACAGGUAUAGACAAUCAGUUUGUCGAGCCCUCAGACUAGACGAGAUUUGCAUUUAGCGAAGGAUCGGUAAGAAUCCACCUCAUUCGGAGUGGAGCCAAGUCUAUGAGUCAUCGUGUCAGAGUUUUUCUACAGAUUUAUGGGCGAAGCCUUGGCCGCAAUUGCGAGUUCGCAUUUGCGAACAUGACAUCGCAAAUGCGAUAUCUGUGCCUGUGUAAAAUCAAACUUAGACGAAAUUUUCUUCAUUUGUCAAACUCCCUCAAAUCCUAAGCUCUCUUGGGCGAUUUUCCAAAGAAAAGUUCUUCUCCAAAUCAAUUGUAAGUCAUUUCUAACUCAUUUUCGUUAAUCUAUAACGUCUUUUCACAUGAUUUCAAUUCAAAAUCAAGGAUUUUCAUGGGAAAAUUGGAUGUUUUUGGUAGAACUUAGGAUUUUCGAUUUUUGGAGAUUUGGGCCUCGAUUUGAGGUCCUAUUUCAAAAUAAAGUACAUAUUUGAGUUCGUGGGUGAAUGGGUAAUCGGGUUUUGGUUUGAGCCUCGGGUUUUGACCAUGUGGGCUCGGGGUCGAUUUUUGACUUUUUGGGGAAAUCAUUAGAAAAUCUAUUUUCAUGCAUUAGAAUUGAUUCAUUUAGCAUUUAUUGAUAUCGUUAAGUAAAUUGUGGAAAGAUAAAAGUAAAUUUUGGCUAGAUACAAGCGAAUUGAUGGUGGAAUCAAGAGGUAAAUCGGUAGUUGAGGGUUGAAUUGUGUUCGUGGCAUUGAGGUAAGUGUUUGGUCUAACCUUAGCUUGAGGGAUUAGGAGUUAUGUCUUAUUUGCUAUGUGUUAAUUGUUGAGUACGACGUAUAGGUGUGGUGACGAGUAAGCAUGCCCGUGAGUCUUAUACUAUGAUUGAUGUGACUCCGUUUUGUAUUGUCCAUGCUUAAUAUGAUGGUUUCUAAUGUUGAACAAGGCUUAUGAAGGUAUUCUUGGUAAUUGAACAUUGUAGAGCAUUGGCUCAAGUUGAGAAUUAAGUUGUGAAGUAAUUUGUGGAAAAGAGAAGAGGUUUAUGAUAUUGUCUCCCUUGCCGGGAUGUUGUUGUUAUGAUAUUAUCUCCCUUGCCGAGAUGUUAUUACUCAUGAUAUUGUUUCCCUUGCCGGGAUGUUAUUACUCAUGAUAUUGUUUCCCUUGCCGGGAUAUUAUUGAUAUAUCAUUGUUCCCUUGCCGGGAUUCUAUUGUGAUUCUAUUGAGUUCCUUGCCCGUAUUGCUUUGUGAUUGUUGCUUAGGUAAGGAAGAGUGUAAAGCACGAAGGGUGAUGCCGUGCAUGAUGUUGGUGAGAGAGUGUUAAUGCACGAAGGGUGAUGUAGUGCCAUAAUAUGAGUGAUAAUGCACGAAGGAUAAUGCCGUGCCAUGAUUAUGUAAGGUAAAUCACGAAGGGUGAUGUCGUGCCGAUUAUAUUGUUUCUUAUGGUGAGGACGAGAGUAAAAGCACGAAGGUUGAUGUCGUGCAUUUGUCUUUGUUUUCUUAUUCUUGCUUAUAGUUGAAUUUUGGUGUUCCGUAUGUUUCUUUACUGAAUUUCGGUUUGCACAUGAUAUUUCCCCGAGCAUGUUUCCCUUUUCCAUCUUUAACUGCUAGUUUCUGUCAUUAUUACUUGUUGUAUAUGAUAUAACUGCACAAGUUUAUUUGGUAGUCUUGUCGUAGCCUCGUCAUUACUUCACCGAGGUUAGGUUAGACACUUACCAGCACAUGGGGUCAGUUGUGCUGAUACUACACUCUGCACUGUGUGCAGAUCCUAGUGCUGCAGCUUUUGGACCACAGUGAGGUUGCUGCCUUCAGUCCAAUAGCGGAGACCCGAGGUAGUCCUGCAGGCGUCCGCAGACCUUGGCGUCUCCUUCUACCUUUCUAUUCUAUUUCUUUUAUGUAUUUCAGAGACAACUUUGUAUUUAACUUUCAGACCACUGUUUGUAAUAUUCGUAGAUAGUCUGUGAUAUUAUGACAACAAAUUCUGGGUAGAGUUGUAUGUUGGAUUCUGCACUAGCAUAUGGUUAAACUAUUAGUUUUCGUCUUCCACAUUUUUGUUUAUUAUAAUUCUUCCGCUGUUGAUCACCUGUUAUAUUGAACUGUUAAAAAGGCUAAGUAAAAAGGGGUAAUGAAUCUAUAAUACUCAGCUUGCCUAGCUUUCAUGAGUAUGCGCCAUCACGA